UACGAAGGGGGCUAGCGUUGUUCGGAAUCACUGGGCGUAAAGGGCGCGUAGGCGGCCGAUCAAGUCGGGGGUGAAAGCCUGUGGCUUAACCACAGAAUGGCCUUCGAUACUGGCGAUCUUGAGUCCGGAAGAGGUGAGUGGAACUCCUAGUGUAGAGGUGGAAUUCGUAGAUAUUAGGAAGAACACCAGUGGCGAAGGCGGCUCACUGGUCCGGUACUGACGCUGAGGUGCGAA
rnacentral:rRNA from 1 species